UACGGGGGGAGCAAGCGUUGUUCGGAUUUACUGGGCGUAAAGGGCGCGUAGGCGGCCACCGCAAGUCGACUGUGAAAUCUCUGGGCUUAACCCAGAACGGUCAGCCGAUACUGCGGGGCUAGAGUGCAGAAGGGGCAACUGGAAUUCUCGGUGUAGCGGUGAAAUGCGUAGAUAUCGAGAGGAACACCUGCGGCGAAGGCGGGUUGCUGGGCUGACACUGACGCUGAGGCGCGAAAGCUAGGGGGAGCGAACGGGG
rnacentral:rRNA from 1 species